rnacentral:rRNA from 1 species
UACGAAGGGGGCUAGCGUUGCUCGGAAUUACUGGGCGUAAAGCGUGCGUAGGUGGUUCGUUAAGUCUGAUGUGAAAGCCCUGGGCUCAACCUGGGAAUGGCAUUGGAAACUGGCGACCUAGAGUGCGGUAGAGGGUAGUGGAAUUCCCGGUGUAGCAGUGAAAUGCGUAGAGAUCGGGAGGAACAUCCGUGGCGAAGGCGACUACCUGGACCAGCACUGACACUGAGGCACGAAAGCGUGGGGAGCAAACAGG